CUUCUACCCAAGCCUGGAUUAUCCAAGAAAAAUGCAAUGACGAAACCAAACCGCAGCAUCUCCAGAUGCAGCUUUCCUACCUUACAGUUACAUGGGUGCGGUUCAUUCAGUUUUAGGCGAUCAUGACAAUCAGAAGAUGUAGCACAUACAUCUGCAAAUAAUCUAGCAACCCAGACACAUUCUUCAGGUUUUUUUUUUUUUUGGAACAAGGACACAUUCUUCAGGGUAUCAGCAGAUAAGACAUAAGAGGCUAACAGGGCUGACUUCAGUACGGCCUCACUUUCCUGUGUACAAAGGUCUUCUUUUCUCUGCAAAUGCAGCU
rnacentral:lncRNA from 1 species